rnacentral:lncRNA from 1 species
GAUAUGUUCUAUUUCUGCACUAUGAUAGCUACCAUAACGAUCUGCUUACCACCUGAAUAUCCUGUUACCUAGAAAGAAAACGGUAAUGUUAGUUUCCAGGACAAGCUAUGUUAAAUAAUAAGGAAGACUUAAGGCAGAGGGGAAUAUCAGGCUUCUCUCUGGCUUGUUAUGAGUAUGAAAGUAACAUAAGCUAUGUGGUUGCCCUUGUUUACUGCCCAGAGAGAGGUUUCAGUGUGAGCACUGGGGAGGAGGGAGCUGUGGCAGAGUCCUCUCACGGUCCUGAGUUAAGGAGGGGUAACUGAAGGAUGGAGAGCUGAAAACAGGGCCUCAUCUAGAAAGAGAACUUCAGAGACUGCACAGGUGUCUACUGAGCAUUCGGCUGAGCACUGACCACUGCACGUGCUAGGGCAGGAAACUGAGAACAAGGCUUGUCCCCCUAGCCAACACCUAACUUAGGGAUAUCCAGAGAAGACAGACCCAGCUUUUGUCUCAGAGAACAUUAACUGUUCACUUAAAACUGAUCUGGACUCACAGAACAGAUUUAAAGUAGAUAUAAAGGACAAACUGCUUGCAAAUAACUUGUGACUAAUGCAAAGUUCAAGAAUUAUAAAAAUGCCGGGCGUGGUUUUCUGUUUUGUUUAUUUCUGUUGUUUGUUUUUUUUACAGUUAUGCAAUUCUAAGCAUUGAUUAUGGUGCCAUCCAGGCCUUGGAUAUAAGCAUUAGCUUUCUUAGGAUGAGAUCAAUAGAACAAAGGAGGGAACAGGAAUUCUGUAAAAUCUAGAAAAAGAUGUGAGAAAAACACCUCGUUAAUUGAAUUUCUGGUUCUUCCCAUGGCCUGCUUAGUCUGGGGAAAGAGGAUCCUGUCAAUGCAAGCCUUAAAAAUUUUUUAAAUUAAAUGUAUGUUUAAUGUUAUAUAUUGAUUUACUAUAUUUAAAAUUGUAUAGUAUAUACUUUUAUGUCUAUUAUAAAUUAUUAUGUAUUAUAUAUUAAACUAUAUAAAAUAUUAUACACACAUUGAUAUAUGUGUGGAGGUCAGAGGACAACUUUUGGGAGUCUGGUCUCUCCUUCUACCAUGUGAAUUCCUGAAAUCAAAUUCAAGUUAUCAGUUUCGGGGGCAGGCACUGUUACAUUCCGAGCCAACUCAGUGGCCUUGCCCCUUUUUUAUUUUUU